UACACAUUUUAUGUCGCUAUUGAAACAUCGAUAACAUGCUGAUAGGGACGUUUUGUCAAGUAAUACGCUGAUUUGGAUAGAGCAUCUUGGGAACGUGGUUCCCAUCAUAACAAUUGUUGUUCAUGCAAAUGAUGAUAUCCCAGCCAGCCUGUUGAGCCCAGGUAUUGAGCGAAAGGUCUCGUCAGCAAUGGAUAUGGUUGUUUAAGUGUGAUUGACAUACUGAAUUUGAUGAGAUUCGAAGUUAGGAUUAUACUUAUCAUCAGGGCUGUUUUAUGCAAUAGACAAAAGGAGUUGUUGCCCAGGGCCCACCGUGCGUUGCGAAUGUAAUAAUAAGUAAUAAAAUACAAAUUGUAUAAUAAAAUAAUAAUAAACCAGAUUUUUUAAAAUA